GUGAGAGAGAGAGAGAGAGAGAGAGAGAGAGAGAAACUUUGCAAAGGCUGUAGAUGAGGAGGGAGGAUUGGAGAGGGGGAGGAGAGAGGGAGGGAAGGAGGGGAGGCUUCUCUCUCUCUCUCUCUCUCUCUCUCUCUCUCUCUC